CUACGGGGUGCUGCAGUGGGGAAUAUUGCACAAUGGGCGCAAGCCUGAUGCAGCCAUGCCGCGUGUGUGAAGAAGGCCUUCGGGUUGUAAAGCACUUUCAGUCGUGAGGAAGGUGGUAGUGUUAAUAGCACUAUCAUUUGACGUUAGCGACAGAAGAAGCACCGGCUAACUCCGUGCCAGCAGCCGCGGUAAUACGGAGGGUGCGAGCGUUAAUCGGAAUUACUGGGCGUAAAGCGCAUGCAGGUGGUUUGUUAAGUCAGAUGUGAAAGCCCGGGGCUCAACCUCGGAACUGCAUUUGAAACUGGCAGACUAGAGUACUGUAGAGGGGGGUAGAAUUUCAGGUGUAGCGGUGAAAUGCGUAGAGAUCUGAAGGAAUACCGGUGGCGAAGGCGGCCCCCUGGACAGAUACUGACACUCAGAUGCGAAAGCGUGGGGAGCAAACAGGAUUAGAUACCCUUGUAGUC
rnacentral:rRNA from 1 species